rnacentral:lncRNA from 15 species
CUAAAGGAAACCAUUUUAAUAGAUAACAUUCAGAUACAUGAAAACAUGACUUAGACUCCUACUUUAGGACUUGAGACUGAACAGACUGAAACAUUUUUGAUAAAAUCUCAUACAAACUAAUUUGUAUGAGAGCUCACAUGUACCUAACUCAUGUAUUUGUUCAUUAUUGCACAUUUAAUUUCCCAAACAGACACACUGCCUAUAAUCAUGUCCAUUUUUCUUGAUUCGUGCAUCACAAAACCAAUCAGCAGAUAACACUUUCAACAACUGAGUGAAGACGUGACGUGUGUGUGUGUGUGUGUGUGUGUGUGCGAUGAGAAAAUACAGGUUUUGUUACCUGAUAACAUCCCACUGGUUGGAAAAGAUUUUAAACAAACAUGACUCACAAUGAACACAUUGAACCUAUAAGGUUACCUGUUAGUGUUUGUGCGUGUCAGACUGGAAUUUAACAAGAAUAUCCCAAAACAACUUUCUCCACGUUCACAACACCAGUCUGAGUGUUACAAAUGGCAUGUAAUAAUUGCAUUUUUUUUAAUGCACAUAUAGCUCCAUGUGCAUACCGUAUGGUGCAGAUUAUACACACUGUCACUCACAUACUUUACCCUCAACUAAACAAAGGUUUUCUGAUGAGAGUGCAGGUACUGCCCCUGAUGAGCUGCUUCAGGUUGAGGUGUGGCUCUGCAUAAAAGGGGCUGCAGGUACCAGCUGCGUCUGUGGACUUUCUAUCCAGCGGACAGGUCUAAAGUUUUGAAAUGAAUCGAGGACACUGUGGUCGAGGAGGCCACGGACAAGGUGGUGGGCAUGGAAUCUGCGGACAAGGUGGUGGGCACGGAAACUGCGGACAAGGUGGUGGGCACGGAAACUGCGGACAAGGUGGUGGGCAUGGAAACUGCGGUGGCCAUGGACAUGGUGGCCAUGGACAUGGUGGUGGGCAUGGAAACUGCGGUGGCCAUGGACAUGGUGGCCAUGGACAUGGUGGUGGGCAUGGACCCUGCGGUGGCCAUGGACACUGUGGUGGGGGGCACGGGCCCUGCGGUGGCCAUGGCUGUGGUGGGGGGCAUGGACAUGGACAUAAACAUGGGCCCAAGCGCAGGAAAAGGCACAGGCGUGGCCACAAGCAUGCCAAUUGUCACAAGAAGGGCAAGGACUGUCACGGGUCCUCCAGCAGCUCCUGCAGCAGCGACUCGGACUAGAUGAAGACAAGUUACCACCUGGUAACAUUAAAAUCAUGUGUAUUCUUCAUCUAAACGAUGUAAAAUUGAGAGUUUUCACUGAUUGUAUGGCCUUGAAUGAAUUAUUAAUCUAAUAAAUAAGGUGGAAACUGGUGUACUGGCUUUUCAUAACUUUUGUUCAUGUCACUGCAUGUACAUUAAGUGACUGUGUUGUGCCAUCUUUCAAAAUGAUUGUGCUGCCUGCCACAGUGUCAUUGUCAAGACGACCACCAGAUGGCGCCCAAUGAAGACAUUUUCAAAUGUUUUACAUAGUGGCUUUAACAGUGGCUGUUAGAAACAUAUAUCUUAUGAGUGUAGGGUAUCCAUGAUUGUAGAAACGUGUUAUUAAAUAAUUGAUUAUUAAACAGUUGAUUAAAGUACACAAUGUCAACCUUUGAUAGUAUGAGUUUGCCCAGUAUCCUUGUCAUUGGUUGUCUGGUACCACGUGGUCGACAAAAACAUAAAAAUGAUGUUAUAAAUAGUUAGUUAAUAGUAACAAAAUCUCGAGUGCAUGUUUACACAGCACACAAAAAAAUGUUGGUGGGAGUUGAGGCUCUGCCCCUCAUGACUUCCUAUAAAUGCAGAGCCAGUUCACUGCUGAGUCUGUGGAUCUGCACUCCGGCACUCAGUAAGUUCACUACAACAUAUCUGGGUAUAAUUACCAAAAAGUGUGUGUGUGUGUGUGUGUGUGUGUGUGUGUGUGUGUGUGUGUGUGUGUGAGAGAGAGAGAGAGAGAGAGAGAGAGAGAGAGAGAGAGAGAGAGAGAGAGAGAGAGUGUGUGCCAUCAUGUCUUUAUCAGUAAGACAAACCCCACUGAUGUCUUUAUUGUUUUGUAUUUCUUUUAUGUUAAGGGGGAUUUGUGUGUAAUUAAGUUAACUUUGAUUUCAAGGUUUGGAUCUGAUCUGAAGUUCUGAAAUGCAUGGGAAUAACAGAGGUAAAGUCUAUUUAACUUUUAUCAAAACUCCUUUCC